rnacentral:tRNA from 1 species
GAGACCGUGGCUCAAUGGUUAGAGCGUUAGACUUCUGUUCAACAAGUCGCGGUUUCG